ACACACAUUUACUUGGAUAACUGUGGUAAUUCUAGAGCUAAUACAUGCAAACAGAGCCCUGACCGGAGACGGAAAGGGUGCUUUUAUUAUAUCAAAAUCAAUCGGCGGCAAUAGCGUUUCGACAUUAUUGUUCGUCGCACUGUUUGGUGACUCUGAAUAACUUUUAKYUGAUCGCACGGUCUCGCACCGGCGACGCAUCUUUCAAAUGUCUGCCUUAUCAACUGUCGAUGGUAGGUUCUGCGCCUACCAUGGUUGUAACGGGUAACGGGGAAUCAGGGUUCGAUUCCGGAGAGGGAGCCUGAGAAACGGCUACCACAUCCAAGGAAGGCAGCAGGCGCGCAAAUUACCCACUCCCGGCACGGGGAGGUAGUGACGAAAAAUAACGAUACGGGACUCAUCCGAGGCCCCGUAAUCGGAAUGAGUACACUUUAAAUCCUUUAACAAGGACCAAUUGGAGGGCAAGUCUAGUGCCAGCAGCCGCGGUAACUCUAGCUCCAAUAGCGUAUAUUAAAGUUGUUGCGGUUAAAAAGCUCGUAGUUGAAAUUGUGUUUCGCGCUGUCGGUUCACCGCCCGCGGUGUUAACUGGCACGUCUCGCGAAACGUCCUGCCGGUGGAUAUGCAAUAUCUGAGCUCCGGCCCUUUAUAGGUGUUAUUGCUGUAAGGCUUUCGCAUUGUAUAGAGUGGUUUGGACUUGGACCCAUUGCUAUCCGACUAUAUAAUCCUGUCGCGGUGCUCUUGAUUGAGUGUCGAGGCGGGCCGGCACGUUUACUUUGAACAAAUUAGAGUGCUCAAAGCAGGCCAGAAAUUUGCCUGAAUAUUCUGUGCAUGGAAUAAUAAAACAGGACCUCGGUUCUAUUUUGUUGGUUUUCGGAACCCCGAGGUAAUGAUUAAUAGGGACAGAUGGGGGCAUUCGUAUUGCGACGUUAGAGGUGAAAUUCUUGGAUCGUCGCAAGACGGACAUAAGCGAAAGCAUUUGCCAAAAAUGUUUUCAUUAAUCAAGAACGAAAGUCAGAGGAGCGAAGGCGAUCAGAUACCGCCCUAGUUCUGACCAUAAACGAUGCCAGCUAGCGAUCCGUCGACGUUCCUCCGAUGACUCGACGGGCAGCUUCCGGGAAACCAAAGAUUUUGGGUUCCGGGGGAAGUAUGGUUGCAAAGCUGAAACUUAAAGGAAUUGACGGAAGGGCACCACCAGGAGUGGAGCCUGCGGCUUAAUUUGACUCAACACGGGAAACCUCACCAGGCCCGGACACCGGAAGGAUUGACAGAUUGAGAGCUCUUUCUUGAUUCGGUGGAUGGUGGUGCAUGGCCGCUUUUAGUUCGUGGAACGAUUUGUCUGAUUAAUUUCGAUAACGGACGAGAUUCUAGCCUACUAACUAGGCGUAACUUACCGGUAUCCUGAAGGCUCGUGCCUCUCGUUUUCUGGCCGUGCAUUUGUCGUAUUGUGUGCAGUGAAAGCUGUAUUGCAAGUAUUACGGUGCUCGUUCGGUGCGGGUGUGCACGGUUUUUACUACCGGCGUACAUAUAAUUCUUCUUAGAGGGACAAACGACGAUAAGUCGUACGAGAUUGAGCAACAACAGGUCUGUAAUGCCCUUAGAUGUUCUGGGCCGCACGCGCGCUACACUGAAGGAAUCAACGUGUAUUCCCUGGCCGAGUGGCCCGGGUAACCCGCUGAAACUCCUUCGUGCUAGGGAUUGGGGCUUGCAAUUAUUCCCCAUGAACGAGGAAUUCCCAGUAAACGCGAGUCAUAAGCUCGCAUUGAUUAAGUCCCUGCCCUUUGUACACACCGCCCGUCGCUAUUACCGAUUGAAUGAUUUAGUGAGGUCUUCGGACUGGUACGCGGCGGCGUUUCGACAUUGCCGAUGUCGCUGGGAAGAUGACCAAACU
rnacentral:rRNA from 1 species